GCGGACGUCGAUGGGUUUGUGGGCGCAGGGCGCGAGGCGCGAGGCGGUAGCUGGGCUAGUCCUGUUCCCUGGCGUCUGGGCCUUUCUGCUCUCCGCAAGGAGCUGGGUCGCGACCUGUCACUGCCAGCCGUGCGCUCGCCCUCUGCGCCCCGUCUCGUGGUCACUGCCGCCCUCCCUCCCGCCACACCUGUGAUGAUCGCUAUGGAGCCGCGCCUCAGGUGGCAUUACUAUAAACCUAAGAGGAGAGGCGCCCGUUCGAAUAAGGGCAAAUUAUUUAGUAUUUUGUCUUCAAUGUUCCUGGCAGCUUAAAGUACCAACUGGGACACUUGUCACUAGUUUGAGAAGUGCAGCCAUAGUGACCUCUUUUGAAAGAUGAAUCAAUGAAUUAAGUCAUUUCUGAGAAACCAAGGAGGCCUGUUGAAGGAGGCUGGCCCUCCUGUGGCAGGUAACCCAACCUCCACUGCCCUUGGCAACAGGACAAGGCUAAUAUUUUCCCAAGAAGGGCCUUUUCAUGGAAUGAUCUUUCCAACCCGUUGACUACAACAAG
rnacentral:lncRNA from 1 species